CGGACUUCUCUUGAACUGAAUUUUAAUGUGCGUAUUGUUAUGCGUUUACUUUUCUGCAUUGGCUAGAGGUAUAGGGGGAGGGUUGAGAUCUCACAAACAUGUUUAACCCCGCCGCAUUUUUGCGCCUGUCCCAAGUCAGGAGCCUCUGGCCUUUGUUAGUCUUGUUUUAUUUUAACUUUUAGUUUCUUUUGUACAAUUUGGAGUUUAGUAUGGUGUUCAUUAUCACUGAACCAGUAUAUAUUUGUUUAGG
rnacentral:lncRNA from 1 species